rnacentral:rRNA from 1 species
UAUUGCACAAUGGGGGAAACCCUGAUGCAGCGACGCCGCGUGAGUGAUGAAGUAUUUCGGUAUGUAAAGCUCUAUCAGCAGGGAAGAAAAUGACGGUACCUGACUAAGAAGCACCGGCUAAAUACGUGCCAGCAGCCGCGGUAAUACGUAUGGUGCAAGCGUUAUCCGGAUUUAAUGGGUGUAAAGGGAGCGUAGACGGAGAGGCAAGUCUGAUGUGAAAACCCGGGGCUCAACCCCGGGACUGCAUUGGAAACUGUUUUUCUAGAGUGUCGGAGAGGCAAGUGGAAUUCCUAGUGUAGCGGUGAAAUGCGUAGAUAUCAGGAGGAACACCGGUGGCGAAGGCGGCCUGCUGGACUGCGACUGACGUUGAGGCCCGAAAGCGUGGGGAGCAAACAG